rnacentral:rRNA from 1 species
UACAGAGGGUGCGAGCGUUGUUCGGAAUUAUUGGGCGUAAAGGGCGCGUAGGCGGUGCGGUAAGUCACCUGUGAAAUCUCCUGGCUCAACUGGGAGCUUGCAGGCGAAACUGCCGUGCUGGAGUGUGGGAGAGGUGCGUGGAAUUCCCCGGUGUAGCGGUGAAAUGCGUAGAUAUCGGGAGGAACACCUGUGGCGAAAGCGGCGCACUGGACCACAACUGACGCUGAGGCGCGAAAGCUAGGGGAGCAAACAGG